UCGGGGGGUAUAGUUCUUCGGAACUAGAGACCGGCGCACGGGUGCGUAACGCGUAUGCAAUCUACCUUUCACAAAGGGAUAGCCCAGAGAAAUUUGGAUUAAUACCUUAUAGUAUAGCGACUUCGCAUGGAGAUGCUAUUAAAGAUUUAUCGGUGAAAGAUGAGCAUGCGUCCCAUUAGCUAGUUGGUAAGGUAACGGCUUACCAAGGCUACGAUGGGUAGGGGUCCUGAGAGGGAGAUCCCCCACACUGGUACUGAGACACGGACCAGACUCCUACGGGAGGCAGCAGUGAGGAAUAUUGGUCAAUGGGCGCAAGCCAGAACCAGCCAUGCCGCGUGCAGGAUGACGGUCCUAUGGAUUGUAAACUGCUUUUGUACAGGAAGAAACACUCCCUCGUGAGGGAGCUUGACGGUACUGUAAGAAUAAGGAUCGGCUAACUCCGUGCCAGCAGCCGCGGUAAUACGGAGGAUCCAAGCGUUAUCCGGAAUCAUUGGGUUUAAAGGGUCCGUAGGCGGCUUAAUAAGUCAGUGGUGAAAGCCCUACGCUUAACGUAGGAACGGCCAUUGAUACUGUUAGGCUUGAAUUAUUAGGAAGUAACUAGAAUAUGUAGUGUAGCGGUGAAAUGCUUAUAGAUUACAUGGAAUAC
rnacentral:rRNA from 1 species